rnacentral:rRNA from 1 species
CAGCGCCGCGGUAAUACGAAGGGGGCUAGCGUUGCUCGGAAUGACUGGGCGUAAAGGGCGCGUAGGCGGAUUGUUUAGUUAGGCGUGAAAUUCCUGGGCUUAACCUGGGGACUGCGCUUAAUACAGGCAGUCUAGAGUGAGGAAGAGGGUUGUGGAAUUCCCAGUGUAGAGGUGAAAUUCGUAGAUAUUGGGAAGAACACCGGUGGCGAAGGCGGCAACCUGGUCCUCGACUGACGCUGAGGCGCGAAAGCGUGGGGAGCAAACAGGAUUAGAUACCCCAGUAGUCCCUGUCUCUUAUACC